GUGGCUUAUAAACGAGCGUCUGCGCUGACAGCGUGAUCACUACGCAGCUGGGUGCUGCCUCUGCCGCAGUGCGCAGCUCUGACGCGCAGACGCUGGACCGGAAACUCUCUCUUGCCUCGGAGGAACCCUUCUUAGCAGCGGCAACGCGGUCUGUCCGCGUCAGUUGACCGGUGUUUUGUGCAACAGGGACGUUCACUGCAUAAGGCAGAUCAGCAGCGCUGAACACGAGGCCGCUCGACCUCGUCUCCUCAGGGUUGGAGCCACUGGACUGAGCAGGCAGUCGUUUGAACGUCACGGGAGUUGUAUCCCAUUGACUCUUCCUUCUCCUGUGCUCGUCUAAAGGUCACAAAGAAACACAUCUGAGCAGGAAGUCACUUGUAAGGUAAGCGGUGACCCUCAAACCUGGUCCAUGAUCAUGUUAAGGUUUUAUUUACUUUUGUGGUGUGAUUGUUUGUGUACAUAUUGUUAGUCUUGUCUCUUUUCCUAUUUGUCUGAAAUCUGAUCUGUGUAAACAUUUUUUGAAAUAAAAUUUGUCUUGAGAAAAUG